rnacentral:misc_RNA from 1 species
GGGAAAGCAAGAAAUAUACUGUAUAAAGGGUAAAAACAGAAUUACAGUGGGUAAUUACCACAUCACCACUUGAAAUACAGGAGCUAAAAGUAAAAACAAAAUCUAAGGAAGAAAUGGGCCACAAUCAUGGAUUGUACAUGGUGACUAUUUGGAGAGAUAGGAAUCAAAGAUGUUUUGAAGCAUUAACCAACCCAACCUGGAAGAUCAAGUUCAAUUGUUUGCUUUUGUUUGCUUCUUAGUGUAAAAUGGAAGACAUAGGCAAAGUGAGACCAUUUUAGAGGCUUUUGAAACUAUUCAUGUACAGUGAGACUAUAUUAGUCAGCCUAGUCUAAUCUUUUUUUGUUCUUUUUAUCACUUCUUUUGGAGUUGAUACUUUGUACUGUUUUGAUAACAAUGAAAAGCCUUUUACCUUCUCAAAA